UGUAAAAUCACCUCCCAAUAAACUCCAGGC
rnacentral:piRNA from 1 species